AAUUUUUCUUUUAAUUCUCAUCUCAUUUCUUGAAUAUUUUUUAACUUAGUACCACAGUAAUAUAUUUAUUUAUAUCCAUAAAAUGUCACACGUUUGUACGUCCGUACGUCCGUACGUUCGUGACGUUUUUCGUAGCUCAAGAAACAGAAGAGAGACUUCAAAUAAAUUUUAGAAAUGCAGAUAAUGCAGCAGAAAGAUGCAGAAAGGGUUCUCAAGAAAAUUGGAUUGUCAAGAUGCAGCCUUACUCUGGGCCCUACAUGGGUAUUUUGUGCCUUUCCAAAAAGUUGUGAGAAAACACAAAUAGGGAAAGAAACGUUCACGAGGUUUACUAUCUUGAUAAAUUGCAAUUAAAUUACUUAUUGAUAAAUGAACUAAACUACAAAAAAUAAAAAUUAUAAAAUUAAA